rnacentral:rRNA from 1 species
CCUACGGGAGGCUGCAGUGAGGAAUAUUGGUCAAUGGACGAGAGUCUGAACCAGCCAAGUAGCGUGAAGGAUGACUGCCCUAUGGGUUGUAAACUUCUUUUAUAUGGGAAUAAAACGUUCCACGUGUGGGAUUUUGUAUGUACCAUAUGAAUAAGGAUCGGCUAACUCCGUGCCAGCAGCCGCGGUAAUACGGAGGAUCCGAGCGUUAUCCGGAUUUAUUGGGUUUAAAGGGAGCGUAGGUGGAUUGUUAAGUCAGUUGUGAAAGUUUGCGGAUCAACCGUAAAAUUGCAGUUGAAACUGGCAGUCUUGAGUACAGUAGAGGUGGGCGGAAUUCGUGGUGUAGCGGUGAAAUGCUUAGAUAUCACGAAGAACUCCGAUUGCGAAGGCAGUUCACUGGACUGCAACUGACACUGAGGCUCGAAAGUGUGGGUAUCAAACAGGAUUAGAUACCCCUGUAGUC